UUCAUUAGCACAAAAAUCCCGUUAAGUAGGUCUUAUCAUCCUCAUUUUAUGGAUGAUGUAGAACAAAUAUGUUACUUACAAAAAAUUAUAAAAUUACUAAGUGGUAGGAUGAAAAUUUCCAUCCAUGGGUGGAAUCAAGGUUCUUUCCAGUACUUUAUAUGGCCUUUUGUUCUUGAGAAAGGGGAGAUUCUCACCACCUAAUUGUAGCUCCAGUAAUAAGGGUAUCAUCCAAUCUAACUUCCCUCAAGAAAGCUAAAGGAUGCCUAAAAUAGAAACACCUAAUGGACAUAAGAGAUGCAGAAUAAUCUCUAGUCUUAAUUUUUCUGUCAGCUACUCCAUAUUCUUUGUCACAUUCAUGUGGACUCAAAGAAGGCAAGGUUCAACCAAUCUUCAGAAAUCUUGUCAACGCAGAGCUUCAUACAUCUACUAACUAAUCGGAUUUGAUAUGUAGGUCAUGGUCUUUAUAUCUUCCUUUGUCUAACUAGAGACACCAGCAAGCAAAUAGAUAAAUUCAACACUGAAUAAAAGGAAAGAUGGUUAGACAAGAAUACUGAAUACAUAACAAAAGGAAAGAGGUUGAGAAUGGCCUGCAAAGAUCAAGAUCAAGAUCAAGUUCAGCUCCACAGUUUCAAAAGGCGAGAAUGGCAGACAUGAUCACCUCAAUUUCCCAUACGAGGAAAUGGGAGUAGACAGCCAUUCAUAUGCCAAAAUCACGGGUGUCACAAAGGCCAAAUUGGAAGGAAGACACCCUGCCUGCCAGCUCAUUGGCUAAUCACUGUUGCAGGGGACUCCUACAAAUCCACAGCAUAGCAGGGACAUCCUUUUGUAAUGACCAUGACUUUGCAGCUCCUCUCAACAAGAAGGCCAGCUCUCAGACGUUGCAAACUAUCAGCCUGGAUUCCCAAGGAAUUUUUGUCUUAUCCUGCAGGUGAGAUCUCCAGGCCAGGGAGUUGAUCAGUGAGCAAUGAAUGAACAUCUAUUAUUUUCUGGAUAUAUAUAUCUCAUCAAGUGCAUCUUUUGAGGAGUAUCAACCAUUUGUGCUAUGCUGGCAAAUUUCAUGUCUACCACAAGAAAGGUGGACUGAGGGAGAUUUCAUGCUGAUCAAGUCAACCCAAACCUGUGCCUUAAGGUUAAAAAUGGAAACCUAAGGAAACCAGUCACAAACCACCAAGUAAUGUUCUUAAAUAAUAUAGCCACUUCAGCAAGAGGCCAUCAAAUGAUUUCCUUGAUUUGCUUCUUUAUUAAAUCUUUCCCCUAGUUCCUCUCAGUGGGACACUGCUAACCACUUCCAGUUUGGCUAUGCCCAAUUCGGAUGAAUUUUUGCUCAAAUAAACU